rnacentral:rRNA from 1 species
GACGAACGCUGGCGGCGUGCUUAACACAUGCAAGUCGAACGGUGAAGCGCCUUCCUUUUUGGUGGGUGUGGAUGAGUGGCGAACGGGUGAGUAACACGUGAGUAACCUGCCCCCUUCUUCUGGAUAACCGCAUGAAAGUGUGGCUAAUACGGGAUAUUCUGGGUCUGUCGCAUGAUGGGUCUGGGAAAGAUAUUGUUUCGGUGGGGGAUGGGCUCGCGGCCUAUCAGCUUGUUGGUGGGGUGAUGGCCUACCAAGGCGGUGACGGGUAGCCGGCCUGAGAGGGUGGACGGUCACGCUGGGACUGCGCCACGGCCCCGACUCCUACGGGAGGCAGCAGUGGGGAAUAUUGCACAAUGGGCGCAAGCCUGAUGCAGCGACGCCGCGUGAGGGAUGGAGGCCUGCGGGUUGUGAACCUCUUUCGCCAGUGAAGCAGGCCUGCCUCGUUUGUGGGUGGGUUGACGGUAGCUGGAUAAGAAGCGCCGGCUAACUACGUG